rnacentral:rRNA from 1 species
UGGGGAAUAUUGGACAAUGGGCGCAAGCCUGAUCCAGCCAUGCCGCGUGAGUGAUGAAGGCUCUAGGGUUGUAAAGCUCUUUCACCGGUGAAGAUAAUGACGGUAACCGGAGAAGAAGCCCCGGCUAACUUCGUGCCAGCAGCCGCGGUAAUACGAAGGGGGCUAGCGUUGUUCGGAUUUACUGGGCGUAAAGCGCACGUAGGCGGACUUUUAAGUCAGGGGUGAAAUCCCCGGGCUCAACCCCGGAACUGCCUUUGAUACUGGAAGUCUUGAGUAUGGUAGAGGUGAGUGGAAUUCCGAGUGUAGAGGUGAAAUACGUAGAUAUUCGGAGGAACACCAGUGGCGAAGGCGGCUCACUGGACCCUUACUGACGCUGAGGUGCGAAAGCGUGGGGAGCAAACAGG